AGUGAACGCUGGCGGUAGGCCUAACACAUGCAAGUCGAACGGCAGCACAGUAAGAGCUUGCUCUUACGGGUGGCGAGUGGCGGACGGGUGAGGAAUACAUCGGAAUCUACUUUUUCGUGGGGGAUAACGUAGGGAAACUUACGCUAAUACCGCAUACGACCUACGGGUGAGAGCAGGGGAUCUUCGGACCUUGCGCGAUUGAAUGAGCCGAUGUCGGAUUAGCUAGUUGGCGGGGUAAAGGCCCACCAAGGUGACGAUCCGUAGCUGGUCUGAGAGGAUGAUCAGCCACACUGGAACUGAGACACGGUCCAGACUCCUACGGGAGGCAGCAGUGGGGAAUAUUGGACAAUGGGCGCAAGCCUGAUCCAGCCAUACCGCGUGGGUGAAGAAGGCCUUCGGGUUGUAAAGCCCUUUUGUUGGGAAAGAAAAGCAGCAGGUUAAUACCCCGCUGUUCUGACGGUACCCAAAGAAUAAGCACCGGCUAACUUCGUG
rnacentral:rRNA from 1 species